rnacentral:rRNA from 1 species
ACGAACGCUGGCGGCGUGCUUAACCCAUGCCAGUCGUACGGUAAGGCCCUUUCGGGGGUCCACGAGUGGCGAACGGGUGAGUAACACGUGAGUAACCUGCCCACAACUUUGGGAUAACGCUAGGAAACUGGUGCUAAUACUGGAUAUGUGCUCCUGCUGCAUGGUGGGGGUUGGAAAGCUCCGGCGGUUGUGGAUGGACUCGCGGCCUAUCAGCUUGUUGGUGGGGUAGUGGCCUACCAAGGCGGCGACGGGUAGCCGGCCUGAGAGGGUGACCGGCCACAUUGGGACUGAGAUACGGCCCAGACUCCUACGGGAGGCAGCAGUGGGGAAUAUUGCACAAUGGGCGCAAGCCUGAUGCAGCAACGCCGCGUGCGGGAUGACGGCCUUCGGGUUGUAAACCGCUUUCAGCAGGGACGAAGCUUUUUGUGACGGUACCUGCAGAAGAAGCACCGGCUAACUACGUG